rnacentral:misc_RNA from 1 species
GCAAACAAAAAAACCACCGCUACCAGCGGUGGUUUGUUUGCCGGAUCAAGAGCUACCAACUCUUUUUCCGAAGGUAACUGGCUUCAGCAGAGCGCAGAUACCAAAUACUGUCCUUCUAGUGUAGCCGUAGUUAGGCCACCACUUCAAGAACUCUGUAGCACCGCCUACAUACCUCGCUCUGCUAAUCCUGUUACCAGUGGCUGCUGCCAGUGGCGAUAAGUCGUGUCUUACCGGGUUGGACUCAAGACGAUAGUUACCGGAUAAGGCGCAGCGGUCGGGCUGAACGGGGGGUUCGUGCACACAGCCCAGCUUGGAGCGAACGACCUACACCGAACUGAGAUACCUACAGCGUGAGCUAUGAGAAAGCGCCACGCUUCCCGAAGGGAGAAAGGCGGACAGGUAUCCGGUAAGCGGCAGGGUCGGAACAGGAGAGCGCACGAGGGAGCUUCCAGGGGGAAACGCCUGGUAUCUUUAUAGUCCUGUCGGGUUUCGCCACCUCUGACUUGAGCGUCGAUUUUUGUGAUGCUCGUCAGGGGGGCGGAGCCUAUGGAAAAACGCCAGCAACGCGGCCUUUUUACGGUUCCUGGCCUUUUGCUGGCCUUUUGCUCACAUGUUCUUUCCUGCGUUAUCCCCUGAUUCUGUGGAUAACCGUAUUACCGCCUUUGAGUGAGCUGAUACCGCUCGCCGCAGCCGAACGACCG